rnacentral:rRNA from 1 species
UACGCACGCUGGCGGCGUGCUUAACACAUGCAAGUCGAACGGAAAGGCCCUGCUAUUGUGGGGUGCUCGAGUGGCGAACGGGUGAGUAACACGUGAGUAACCUGCCCUUGACUUUGGGAUAACUUCAGGAAACUGGGGCUAAUACCGGAUAGGAGCUCCUGCUGCAUGGUGGGGGUUGGAAAGUUUCGGCGGUUGGGGAUGGACUCGCGGCUUAUCAGCUUGUUGGUGGGGUAGUGGCUUACCAAGGCUUUGACGGGUAGCCGGCCUGAGAGGGUGACCGGCCACAUUGGGACUGAGAUACGGCCCAGACUCCUACGGGAGGCAGCAGUGGGGAAUAUUGCACAAUGGGCGGAAGCCUGAUGCAGCAACGCCGCGUGCGGUAUGACGGCCUUCGGUUUGUAAACCGCUUUCGCCUGUGACGAAGCGUGAGUGACGGUAAUGGGUAAAGAAGCACCGGCUAACUACGUG